rnacentral:lncRNA from 1 species
ACAAAACUGACAAGUGACAGCAAGUCUGUCCUACUAGGAUUAAAUAAAUUUUAAAAAUGGUUCAUGAUUACAUACAAGUCAACAGGUUCAUCCUAACAGAUCCGGGGGAGGGGGUAUAUUGGAGUAUUUAUGCGUAUACGUAUAUGUAUAUGCGUACAAAAUGUCAAAGUGGCUAACUAAAGUAGUGGAUGCAAAGUGUCAGUGCACCACUAGCCCUUUAUGACAAUAGGUGUAAAAUGAGUUGUUCAAAAAUGUGCUUAGUAGUUAAAUAGAAAUAUCAUUGAUUGAUUACAUAUCCCAUUCCUUUUGCAAAACUGAAAGUUCUGAAUUCCAAUUGCCACGAGAAUUCUGUUUAGUUGGCCUGUGUUUAGUUGGCCUGUGUAUUUGAAUAACAUCAACUAAUCCCGUCUUUCUCAACAAGAAUCGUAGAGAAUAGCAAAAUAAAAGUAUAUUUAGGAAACCUUUUUCUAGCCCAAGAUCGUUAACUAAGAUCGAAAGAUUCAACUAAUAAGAGGAAACUAGAAAGGUGAAGGAAAAUAUUUAAAGGGAGAACUUGGAUUUGAAAGAAGACUGCUUGAAUAUGC